rnacentral:lncRNA from 1 species
CAUCCUAUCCAUCAGUAGUGUCCACCCUUAGGAUAAUCAUGAUCUAGUGUCCAUCCUGUCCAUUAGUAAUGUCCAUCCUUAAGAUGAUCACGGUCUAGUGUCCAUCCUUAAACUAGGUAACAUUUAGGAUAGUUAAUCCUUGGUCUAGAAGGUUUUCUUAGUUUAGUUAUACAACCCUUAGGAUGACCACAGCUUUGUGUCCACCCUGUCCAUCAGUAGUGUCCACCCUUAGUCUAGACGACUUUUAGAAUAACCAUUUAGGAUAGUUAUAGUAUCUCUAGGAUGAUCAUAGUCUAGGACACCCAUAGCAGUCUAGGGCAUCCAUAUUUUAGGAUAAGUAUGGUUGAGAUAGACAACCAAUUUAGUAUAAUUAGAUACCCUUUGGUCUAGGAUAAACAACCCAUAGUUAUUAGGCAUCCUUUUAGGUAAACAACCUCUAGAAUAGAUAACCCAUAGUCAUAACUAGGUUUAGAAUCAACCCUUAUAGGAUAGCCAUAACCUUAAAUUAGAUAGACAGCCUUUAGUCUAAGAUAGGUAUAGAUAUAGGAUUAGAUCUAGAAUAGAUGAAUGAUUAGAUAGAUGAUUGGUUCAACAGAACUAUAUUCUAUAUCUUGUAUCUUAGGAGACUUAUGGCUAUGAAGGUCUCAUACUUGAGCCUUGAUUUUGAAAGGUCUGAAUUUUAGUUCACGGUUAAUCUAUUAUAAUCUGUUAGCAGUAUCUUGGCACAUCUCGUUUUCUGUUAUCUUAGAGUGAGUAAGAUCUUGUUCAUAGGUUCCAGAACAUAUAUCCUAGGAUAGAAUUAGUAUGAUUCCUCCUUUAAUUAGGAGACUCCCCCAGAUUCUGGUCCUACCCAUGGUAUUAAAGUUUUGGAGGGAGAGAGAGUAUAGGAUAGAUCUUGGUUUAGAUACCGAGUCUUGGUCUGAACAGCAAAAUUUUGGUAAGAACCUGUAGCUUGUUGUGAGGAGCACAGUGGUUGUAUAAUUGAUAAAACCUAAGCUUCAUCUGAGGAGCACAGGGGUUGUAUAAUUGGUGGUGGCCAUAUGGUUGGGCAUACCUUCGGAUGUUGGGUUGCUUCAAGGAUAUAUCAAAUUGACGAAAGGUCAGGGAGAGCCACUCAUAAGCAGAAGACUAUCAGUCCGCAGAGAAUCCUUCCAAUGUCGCUCUUGGUAUGGUAACUAUUUCAGAUCUUCCUAUGUUAAGUCUACUAAGGUAGGUACUAUCUCUAAUCUUGCUAUGUUAAGUCUCUCAAGGAAAGGAUCUUUUUAAAAUUAUCUGUUGUUAUGUCUCCUAAGACGAGUAUCUUUUUUUGAUCUUUCUUUACUAAGUCUUUCAUCCUUGAAAUUGAUGUCAAGAGCUAAGGCAAGGCUCUAGCACAGUAUCCUAGGAAAAAGUUGGAAAUAGAUAAUCUAAAUCUAAAUAGAUAUGUAAGAAUCUUUUCAGUGAUUAAGCACCAUCCUUAUAGCGUAGAAAUUUUUUGUUGCAAAUUAGUUAGGAAUCCCAUCCUUGUUUAUUCUUAGAUGGAUAGAAAUCUUUCUUGCAAAUUAGUUAGGAAUUCCUAGCUGCAAACCUUUAGGUACCUUUUCUAAGAACUAACCCCUCCAUAUUUAGGAUCUUUCAGACACCUUCCUCAUAGUCAAUCUUCUUACUCUAUUGAAAUAAUAGAUUAUGAUAGCCUAGAUGAGUAUAACCCAUUAGAUUCCGAAUAAAUAGAAUAUAAUUAUCAAAUUGAUCAUUCAGAUGACAAUUAUUUGAGUCAAGAUGAUCCUCAAGAUGAUAUUCAAUCCUUUCACUCUGAAUUUGAUGAAAGUCAAGAUUAUCCUCAAUAUAGAUUAAUCCCAAAUUUUGAAUCUAGACUGAGAUCUAGAGUUAGCCGUAAGUUAAUCUCCAAAAUUAAAAUAAACAUGUCAAACCCAAGGCCAAACUUUCAAAAUAAAUCUUUACCUUAUAUACAUAAAAACAACUCUGAAUUUAUAAUAAAUAAAGAACUACUUAGGAAAGACUUCUAUGUUGAUGACAAUAGACUUAAAAGACAACAGUGUCUUAAUUUUUAUAAUAAAAUCUAAAAAAAAUCUAAUCUCGCCAUUAUGCUUUCAUGAAGACAAUCAAAGCUCAUGUCAGAUUCUUUGAUUGGUUCGAAAAACAUGAUCAGCCCGAAGAAAUUAGUAUAGAAGAAGAAAAUAAUAAUAAUAAACACAAUUGUUUAGGUACAAAAAUAUUAGUUUGUUGGGAAAAAUGUAAAGGUAAGGUUAUUAAAUACCUCUGUCCAUACUUGCAAGAAGAUAAAAAAAACUUAACAAGUCAAGACUCUAGGGUAAUACAACACCGACCAAUUAGGGAAGAAGAGUUGUCUAAAACCACAACUUAUUUAAAAGACCUACCAGAACCAGAAGAUAGCCCAGUUUUGAAGAUACUAAAAUCCAACAAUUCUUAAAAAACUCAAAAAAUAAAACCCAGGAGAAAGAUCAUCUAGAAGAAAUCAGUCCUGAAAGAAAAAUUUAGAAUAAGGUUCUUGAACCUCUUUCUGACAUUCUUAAACUAAAAUCUUUUAAUCAAAAUAUAGAUCUGUACCCAGUUAAAACCUACAAUACAAAUCUACAAACAUUUUGGCCAAACUUACCAUAGAAAUUAUCAAGGAACUUAAAAAUCCUAUUAAAACAUCUUUUGAGCCCUAGAAACCCUAAGCCAACAUUAUCAGGACACAAACCUUUAAAACUCCUUCAAUCUAAAAAAAGUAAUAAGAAAAUUCUUGAAUACCAUUCUGAUCAAAAGAUCUUGUUAAAAGAAGAAGUUAAGCCUGGUAUCAAAAUCCAAUCCUUAACUAAAUCUUUGUUUAAACCUCCUUGAAAAUCUAAAAGGAAGAACUUAGGAGUAGGACAUAAAAACCUUUGGCCUAUUCCAAGCCCUUUUAAUAUACUCGAGGAAUUUGAAAUUUUUCAAAAGAAAUCAAUGAUCUUGCAAGAAAUAACUCAAAAGAUAGAUAAAGAAAAAGAAAUCCUCUUAGUAGAUGACACUCUAAAAUUCUUUAGGAAAAUAAAAGUUACUCUACUAAUAGAUGAUUUCAAAAUAAAUACUUUAACUCUGAUAGAUUCUAAAAUAGAUUCAAAUCUUAUCCAUAAAAGUAUAAUUCCUACAAAAUUCUUUAAAAAUCUAGCAUCCACAGGUAGUCCAGAUCCCGCAUACAAAUUGACAAAUAUAUUAAUUUGUAAUAAUAAUAUAUGUCUUAAAACUUCCUUCAUCCUAAGUGAAUAUCUCGAUCAAUCAGUAAUCUUAGGAAAUUUAUUUCUCAACCUCAUAAAAUCUUUUUAUGUUGAUGAGAAUGAAAUCAAAACCAAACUCUUAGGACAAAACUUAGAUUUUAGAUUUGCUAAUCCUUUCUUCAAAAAUAGGCAAAUAACUCAACUUUCAGUCAAACAACAAAGAAUUGAACUUUGGAAUAAAACACUAGAAAUACUAUCCUUUGAACUCCAAGGCAUUAUUCUUGAAAAAAUUUACCAACCCAAUGAAAUUAAAGAAUUACUUAAGAGCCUCCAUAAGUAUCUCAUAAUAGAUUGGUGUUGGCCAAAAUUUAGCAUUCCAAAUAUUAAUAUAAUUCCUUCUGAUACUAUAAUUAGAGCCCUAAAUAAAGGACUAGUUAAAUUAGCCUUUGUAGAUUAUAACUACCCCUUGGAUAUGUUCCCAAAAAGAGUUUCCAUAACUUUGGAAAAACUUAGGAACAAUAGAGAAAAAAUAGAUAUAUUAAUUUAUAGUGAAAUAGAAGAAAGUAGAAUAGCUGAAAUUAGGUAUCCUUUACAAAUUCACCAUCUCACCUAAUUUUCGGAAGGAGAUUGGGAUCUUUUUACAAUCAAUUCUAUAAAAGAUAAUCCACUCAAAUUUAUACAAGAAUGUGAUACUAGAGAAUAUGAAAUUAUUAAUUAUUUAGAUGUCUUUUGUGAAGUUAGAAUGUUAGAAAAUCAAAAAUAUUGGACUAAUGGUAGGAUAUGGAUAAUGACAGACUUAAUCAUGCUAAACCAAUCCAUGAUAAAAAAAUAGAGAAAAAUGAAAAAAAAAAAUAGAUUCAAAAAGUUAUCCAUAUGAGGAAACAAUUAGAAACCCCUUUAGGUUAUCAAGGUAUUAAUUAAAACCUUUUCAAAACCAUGUUUUCGAAACAAAUUUGUCUUUUUCAAAACCUUGCUUCUUCAUAACAAGAUUUUACAAAACAUCACUUAGAGGUUUGGUUCUAACUCUCCAUCUGAUUUUCUUCCAUGUAAAUUUUUACAGGAAAGCUUAUGCCUCUUGAGAAAAUUUUAGUUUCAAAAUCCUUUUACUAAUCACUUUCUUUGCUUUCUAUGGCAUCUAGAAAAUAAAUAAAUCUCUCUUUUUAUAAAUAUUUGAAAAAUUUAGAUUAAAUGAGUUUCACAUCAGAACCUUGGCACAAAACAGUUAGCCAAGAGGAAAAAGAGAGAGAGACAGAAACUCAAAAAGAAAAAUAAAGAGACUCUCUUCUUUUUUCAUUACCACUACCUCCAAACCAGUUUGAAAUACCUUCGUCAUUAGAAAGUUCUCAAACAGAAACUGCAAAAAUUACUCAACAAGAAAUUGCAGAAACCUCUGAAAAGGAAGCUGUAGAAACUUCAGAAACUUCUCAAAGCGUGUAGCAGGUUUCUUUCAAACUUAAAACGGCAAUUGGAAUUUUGAUCCAAAGUCAUUCCAAAUCUUUCAGCCUCUUUAAACAGCCACUUGCCCAUAUUUUGAUAAAAAAAAAAUUUAAUUCAUAAUAAUGAUUGAAAAUGAAUAUUUUGAAAAAGAACUAAGGAUGGUGGCAGAAAAAAUCUCUCUUAAAUUGGCAUUUCCUAUCAAGUGAUGAUGUUCGAAAAAUUCAAAAAUUUUAUAAAAAUAUUUUGAUAAAUACAAAAUCUAUAGUUGUUAAGCAUUACAAACACCAUAAUAAAAAUACUUUCACCCAUUUAACAAUUCAAAUCCUCUCAAUUUUAACACCUACCUCAUGGGGAAACCAUCUUUGUGAUUUCAAAAGAUUUUCACAAAACUAUGACCCUCAAUACUUCAAUUACUAGGAUUAUAUUACAGUAUGGUAUAAUGCUUUUCUUUAUUAAAAUCCAUAACACAGACAUUUCUAGUUGUUUUACUUCAAGAUCGGAACAACAUAUCAAUUUCUAUAUUGGUUCAAUAACUGGUGGGACUACUAUGGUCCAACUCUUCAAAUCUUACUUCCACCAGUCCUCGAAGGUUUCAACCUAUUUCAAGAAAAAGCCACCGUUUCAAUCAAAAACCAAAAUUUUUUGAUUCUCUUUAAAUUUUAUUCUCGAUUUACACUCUCCUGGAUUGUUGUCUGAGAAUACACUUUCAUCCAAACUCUAUUAAUUUCUUUAUCCCUUGAAAGACAAUUCAAGAUAAGGUGGUGGGCCCAAUUCAAUUAUGAACAUACCACCAAGUCAAAAAUCAUUCAAUGGCUAUCUCAGCACUCUUCACAGGUAUCUCUGGCCAUUGAAAGCUCCAGAAUUCUCUCAGCAGCAAUCAAAUAUUAAUGUAAGAUUUGUAGUCAUCAAAUCAAAGAUUGAAUAUAAAAAUCUUCUUCAAGAAUUACUUUCAGAAUUAGAAAAGGAAGAAGAAGGAAAAAAAGACUAUGCUAAUACUUCUUCUAGUCUUCUUAUUUAAUUAAAUGAAGAUUAAUCUCUAGUACCAUCAACACCACCAAAAGAAGAAAUUCGUUCACAGUACCAACAAAAGCAUCUUCAAAUAAGACAUUCCAAAAGACUCAUCCAGAUAACCAAACAGGUAUCAUCCCAAAUCCUGACCAAUCUUUAGUUGCUACAAAAGCAAACCACCUACACAGUUUUUGAGGCAAAACUACUCAAGCACUUGAUUCUCAAAAAACAUAGACCUUCUGUCCAAGAUUCCUUCAACCAGAAGACUUUUUCCAUCAAAAAGCUUGGCUCGCAAAUUCUGCCCCUAAUUGUAUCAUAAUAUCACUUUUGUCACAAGCUCUGUCUCAGAUUUCUCCAGCAUAAAAAAUAUCGAGGAUAGUCUCAAAAGCAACAAACUUUUUUUCAACAAACACCAUCAAACUUCAGAAUACUUUUCAGCAAAUUUCAUCGACAAGCCACUUCAUUCUCAAGUUACUUCAUUAGCAAGUUACUUCAUUCUCAAGUUACUUCAUUAGCAAGUUACUUCAUCAGCAAGUCACUCCAUCAGCAAGUUAUUUCACUGACAAAAUUAUUUCACCAGCAAGUUACAUGAUUCCCAAGAUACUUCACUAGCAAGUUACUUCAUCGAUAAGAUAUUUGAUCCCCAAGCAAGAAGUCCACCAAAUCUUCUAUAAGAAGAUCCCAAGUGCCAGCACGAAGGAACAAAUCCUGACAAUCUGAGAGUUUCUAUUAGGAAGUCCUGGCAUAGAGUAGUCCUGAAUACUUUUACCAGACAAAAGUUACAAACCAGUGAGGGAGUAUUCCACCAAUAUCCUCUUCUGUGUUGUAUCCUUGUAACCAAAAAUAGAUUAGGAUUCAAAGUUUUGUUUCAAGUUUGUAUCCAAUAGGUCAUAGUCGGAGAGAAGCAAGCUCUCUAAAGCUAUCUUCAUUCUAUAUAUCCAUCUUGUUCUUGCUUUCUUCAUAUCGUGUAAGCUUUAACCAUAUACACUCUUAUGUUUUAAAUAAUCUUUAAAUAAAGUUUUAGUUUUAAUUAUUCUGUUAUUUUAAAUAUUUUAAUAUUGCUUAAAUGGUAUUUAUUUUUCAAAGUAAUAUUUAGAUUCUUCUUUCUCUAUCUCCGAGAAUGUAUUCCGCAAAAGUUACUAUUUAUUACUAUUCCUGUGGAAUUACUAUUUCGUAAAAAUAUUGUUUGUGUUUCCCUUUGAAUGGUUGAUAUUUUGUUUCUAUAUUUCUUUCCUUCAGAAGUCAUCAUCCUCUUAACCACUUACUAUUUCAAAACUAUUUCAAAACACUAUUUAAAUACUAUUGUAAAAGAUAAAGAUAAUAAAAAAUUAUAGUUAAAUAAAUAACCUACAGAUAGGUAGCCUUUAACAUAGGUUAAAUAAUGUAACCUUUAGCGUAAGAAAUAGUCUAAAAUUAUUAAAAAUAAAUUAAAAAUUAAAAAUCAAAAAGAAUAGAUAACUUGUAGGUAACUUAACUUGUAAGUAACCUUAGUAUAACCCUUAGAUAAUCUAUAGUGUGACUUUUAGGCAACCCUUAGGUAAUUUAUUCUAUAGGUAACACCCUUGGGGAACUUGUAGUGUAACCUUUAGGUAAUCCUUAAGUAACCUAUAGUAUGAUCUUUCGAAUAAUCUGUAGUUAAUGUUUAACAUAGGUUAACCCAUGUAGACAACCUUUAGGAUAGCCAUGUCCACCAGUAGUGUCUACGAUGUCCAUCAGUAGUGUCCAUCCUUAGGAUAAUCACGGUCUAAUGUACAUCCUGUCUAUUAAUAAUGAGUAGUAUCCAUCCUAUCCAUUAGUAAUGUUCACCCUAUAGUUAACCCUGGUCUAAAAUGUUUCCUUAGCCAUACAAUCCUUAGGAUGAUCAUAGCCUAGUGUCCAUUCUAGUGAUCAUCCUUAGUGUACUCUUAGUCUAGACAACCUUUAGAGUAACCACUUAGGAUAGUUAACCCAUGGCCUGAAUAGGUAUUCAACUUUUAGGAAGACCACAGUCUAGGACACCCAUAGUUUAGAAUAAGUAUAGAAUAACUAGGUAUCCUUUGGUCUAGGAUAGACAAUCGUUUUAGGUAACCUAUAGAUAACCUAUAGUCGUAAAUAGAUUUAGAAUCAACCCUUUUAGGAUGACUAUAAUCUUAGACGAACAUAGAAUCCCUUGGACUUGAAAGAUCUAGGAUCCCUAAUCUAGGAUAAAUAUAGGAUCCCUUCAAUAACUCUAGGUUAGAUAAAUAGCCCGGAUCCCUUAGAUAACUUUAGGAUAGAUAGAUAGCCUGGAUCCCUUAGAUAACUUUAGGUUAGAUAGAUAGCCUUUAGUCUAGAAUAGGUAAACAACCCAAUAGGUAGACAGUCUUUAGUCUAAGAUAGGCAUAGAUAUAGGAUUAGAUCUAGAAUAGAUGAAUGAUUAGAUAGAUGAUUGAUAUAGGAUUAGAUCUAGAAUAGAUGAUUGGUUCAACAGAAUUAUAUUCUACAUCUUGUACCUUAAGAGAUUUAUGGCUAUGAAGGUCUCAUACUUGAGCCUUGAUCUUGAAAGGUCUAGAUUUUAGUUCAUGGUUAAUCUAUAAUUUGUUAGCAGUAUAUUGGCACACCUCGCUUUCUGUUAUCUUAGAGUGAGCUAAAUCCUAUUCAUAGGUUCCAAAACAUAUAUCCUAGGAUAGGAUUACUACGAUUCCUCCUUUAACUAGGAGGCUCCCCAAGUUAUAUAUAUAUAUAUAUAUAUAUAUAUAUAUAUAUAUAUAUAUAUAUAUAUAUAUAUAUAUUAGUAGNNNNNNNNNNNNNNNNNNNNNNNNNNNNNNNNNNNNNNNNNNNNNNNNNNNNNNNNNNNNNNNNNNNNNNNNNNNNNNNNNNNNNNNNNNNNNNNNNNNNNNNNNNNNNNNNNNNNNNNNNNNNNNNNNNNNNNNNNNNNNNNNNNNNNNNNNNNNNNNNNNNNNNNNNNNNNNNNNNNNNNNNNNNNNNNNNNNNNNNNNNNNNNNNNNNNNNNNNNNNNNNNNNNNNNNNNNNNNNNNNNNNNNNNNNNNNNNNNNNNNNNNNNNNNNNNNNNNNNNNNNNNNNNNNNNNNNNNNNNNNNNNNNNNNNNNNNNNNNNNNNNNNNNNNNNNNNNNNNNNNNNNNNNNNNNNNNNNNNNNNNNNNNNNNNNNNNNNNNNNNNNNNNNNNNNNNNNNNNNNNNNNNNNNNNNNNNNNNNNNNNNNNNNNNNNNNNNNNNNNNNNNNNNNNNNNNNNNNNNNNNNNNNNNNNNNNNNNNNNNNNNNNNNNNNNNNNNNNNNNNNNNNNNNNNNNNNNNNNNNNNNNAUCUCAGAGCUCUUUCUAUAAGUUAACGAAGGAGUUUGGGAGGUUGUUUGCUGAUCUGGCAUGUUAAAAAAAAAAAAGCAUUCAAUGUGACGCAACGUAAGGGUAGAACGCUUCUUUCUUCCUCCUAUCUCUUCUCUCUUUUCCUUUCAAAACUCUUCUCUCUUUCUCUCUCUUUUUAAACCCAUUCCCUUUCCAAACCCACUCUCCUCUGUUCUUCUCUAUUAGAUCGGCGACCAUCAUCAUCUCUUCCGAGCCCCCUCCCCUACCCAUGACUGUCGUCUUUUGAUAACCCUCCCACUCGCGCUACCUCUCUUCUUCUCUCUCUCCGUUCCAUGCCCAUGGCCACCAUCUUUCGGUAAGCCCCCUAUCCGCACCUCUUCUUCUCUCCCCCCCACAUCCACGGCGGCCGUCUUCUGGUAAGCCCCCCCAACCUGCGUCUCCUCUCUUCUCUCUCUUUCGCGGUCACUGUCUCAUCUCCUCUCAAGUCAAGUUCCCCACCUUGUGGCUGCCGUCUCCUCUCCUCCCAAACCCCCUAUCAGCCCUCUCCUCCAAAACCCCCACCCAUUGGCCCUCCUCCUUUUCUCCCAAACCCACUCGUUGGCCCUCCUCUCCCAAACCCAUCCGCCAUUCUCCCUCUCCUAACUUCGCCGCCAGUGGCUUUUUCCUAAAUUUGAAGACCACCACUCUCUCCCUCGGGCUGUUGACCUUCUUGGGACUUCCCCAAGCCCACCCCACCGCCAUCUUGUUGUGACUUUCCCAAGCCAGUCCACCGUCUCGAGACUUUCGUAGCCAUCCAACUACUAUCACCCCCUACUGUCGAUAUGUUUCAGAUGGUUCAGGAGUUUUCCAACCACAGCAGCAUCCGACUUCAUCAGAAGGUAUUAUUUAUAUAAAUAAUUUUUUAUAUUGAUUGAUUACAUAAUCUUGAUAUUUUAGUUCAGAUAGCAAUUUCUAUUAAGGCCAUGCAUAUACCAAUUGUAAAAUCAUUCUUUAUUAUUUACCUUAUGUUUUCAUUCAUUCAUUCACUGCCACAUGAAAUUAAUUUAGAAAGAUAUGAAGGUGUUAGUUGGUGUACUAUCAAAUACCAUGCUUGUGCAUCAAAUGAAACACAAACGUAGCCACCUACAUACACAAAACAUAUGCAACACAGAUGAAAUUAGUUAUGAAUUCUUUCUCACCUUUGAUGAUAUUUGCUUGACAACCUCAUCACACAUUGCAACUGGCCCUUGCCAAAUAAUUUAAAAAUGUAUUUCUGAGUUUGUGGUUUUAUUAUUUGUUUGCAAGAACAUGCCAGUGAAAUUUAUAGUAAAACUAGUCAAAGAUCCACAUGUUGUUUGCGGUUGGAUGCACGAAAAUUAUUUUUUAGAUUUUACUGCAUCUUUAUUAUUAUUCAAAUUAUUAUUAAUAAUAAAUUAAUAUUUUAAAAUAAUAUUUUUAUUAUUAUUUUAAAAAAUAAUAUUUAAAUAAUUUUAAAUUAAUUUUAAAAUAAUAUGUUAUUAUACAAAUAGUAUUUUUAAAUUAAUAGUAAAAAUAUUAUUUNNNNNNNNNNNNNNNNNNNNUCAUCCCCCUUCCUAAAUAUUUUCUUUUUAAAACUAAUACCUUAGUAAAAUAAUAUUUUAAAUUAUUAAUAAUAAUAAAUAAUAAUAUUUUUUUUCUUUUUUUCUCUCCCUCAAAUAUUUUUUUUCUUUGUUAUCCCUUCCCUUCCCCCCGCCGUCUCCCCUACCCCCACUGCCCCCCCACUUACGUUCCUCAACGUGCCACCAAUUCUCCUCCCCUCUGCAGCCUUGCCCUAUCGCCGUCCCCUCAUGUUUCCUCCCUCGGCAUUGAUGAACUUGAGCUCCUGUGGCUCUACAUGAGCAUCAGCAGCUGCCCCUCCCCUCAGGUUCCAGCACCACCAACUCGAUCUCGCCCCAUCAUCGUUCGAACUGUACCCACUGUUCGUGCCGCAUCUAGCUCCGCAUGACAACUAAACCCCCUCCUCUCCCCUUCAUCGGCUCCAGCACCACCAACCCCCCCUCCUCUCCCCUCUACGGCCCUGCUCCAUCAUUGUCCCCUCCUAUUCUCUUCAGUCCCGAUGAAUCUGAGCUCCCGUGGCUCCGCGUGAGCACCAACGAUCGCCCCUCCCCUCCCUCAGCUUUGGUGCCAACAACCCCCCUCUCCUCCCCUUGGCACCACCAAUCCCCCCUCGCCUUCCCUCAGCCCCAGCUGCAGGCGGUCGCUGGUGCUUGUGCGGUCGUCGACUUAGAUCAGAGAAUAAGAAAGCUUGGAUGGUGGCUGGGUUUCGUCGGUGCUCGCACGGAGCCACGGAGGCUCGGGCUGCGAUGUUUUAUAGGAGGCUUCUUUAAAUCGAUGGAGAUUUUCAAUGCUUUUCUGUUCAGAUGGCACAAUCAAACUCAUUUGAGGUGCUGAGUUGGCAACACUUCAACGUUCCUCCACAGAGUAUUGUUAUAUNNNNNNNNNNNNNNNNNNNNAUAUAUAUAUAUAUAUAUAUAUAUAUAUAUAUAUAUAUAUAUAUAUAUAUAUAUAUAUAUAUUUGUAUAUAUGUAUAUAAUUUUUAAAAUGUAUUCUUGUAGUUGCAUUAUUUGUAAACGUAUAUAUGCAUAAAUAUAUGUAGCAAUGAUUGUGCCAUAUUUAUAUGUAAAUUUUGCUUAGUAGAUCUAUGUGAAGAUGUGACAGGAUCAUCAUAGAUUUUUAUUGAAGUGAAGUAUCAUCUAUUUUUGUAGUAGAUGCUUAACUCAUUAGUUUAUAGUUCGUUAAUAUAUUUAAUUUUUGUAGCAAAUAAGUUAUAACGGAUCUUCAUUGGUUCUUGCAAAUGGUUCGUUCGAAGUCCUCAAUGAGUCGAGAGAGAAAUUCUGGAGUUUCGAGGAAACAAAAGAGAGCUCUCUCUUGAUUGAUAGAUUGUCGCUGCUAUCUAUACGGCGAUAUGUGGACUUCAUUGGGGGCAUUCGGAAGCAGUUGAUGGAUGCCCACAGAAGAUUGAUACAGUAAAUAUUCUCACUAUAUGCUUGACAUCCCAGUCAUCACACAAGAGCGGGUAGUUGUAGACCAACUCCUCCACUGCUAGGAUGAGAGUAGGAGGGCAUUUCAUUAUGGAGGGCAGAUGUUGAUUUUUCGUGCUGAGGACAUCGCCCUCAUUUGGGGCUACCUUUGAACAGGGUAACCAUUGAUAUGAAGAAGGCUCCCUAUAGUAUGGUUAGGAUCAUAUAUUUUGCAGGGGGAUAGUUAGGAGAGAUGCAUUGGAAGAUAGGAUCAAAGAAUUGUUAUCUAAUUAUUCUUCCAAUGGUAUUCGAUCCAUGGUGCAAUUGCUUGUUUCAUAUCUUCUGGGUACAAUUUUGUUUUCUUUGUCGAAUCUUAGCAUUGCAUCAUGGAUUUUUUUCAUUGUUGACUCCUUAAGGGACAUUGGCCAUUUUGCAUGGGCCAGAGAAGUCCACGAGCACCUCAUGAAAUUCAUUCCAAGGACUGUGGAGAAGAUAAAGAGAAGGGAGAGUGGUCCGAAGGAGAGCAUCGGUUAUCUUAAUGGUUGCGUCACAGUUUUGAUGAUAAGAAAGAUGUUAAGUUAUUCUUUUAUCUAUUUAUUUCAUUUUGAUUAUCAUUAUGCCGGCAUUUAUAUGAUUGCUUUUCUUUCAGGUUUGACUUUUUGAGAGAACAGGCAUAGUCAAACCAUCUAUUUUUGGCUGGCUUCCUUGAAUACUGAAUUGGAAGAAACUCCAGUUCAAAAAAUGGGCCCACUUAGGAGUUAUGAAGGGCCUAAAAGAAGGAGAUGUAUUAUUUUUUUUAAUAUUUGGUAUUGUUUAUUUAUUUUGUAAGAUAAGGAGACUAAUUAUUUUCUCGUCAUUUUCAGAUUCAAGACCCACUACGAGCAACACAUGAUGAGGUGUUGUUCCUUGAGGUGGGACUUUCUAGUUGCUAGAUAGAGGGAUAAAGAUGGAACGGGUUUGGCAGUUAGGAAGAGGAGUAGACUUGAUACUGCAUGUAACAGUGCUGCGGUAUUGGACUUUUGUGUAAUUGAUGUGUUUUAAAAUUUAUCAUUGACACAUCUUAUUAAUGUCUAUUUAUCCUCAGUUGCAGCUCAUGCGUAAAUACCGUCGUCUCUUUACAGAGGUCAGGGGGGGCUUGAGAUGAUGCCGAGAAGAUGGAGCUUUAGAGGAUUGUCGCCAAGAAGGACAAGUUGAUUUUUGUGCUGCAAGUGGCAUGGAAGAGCGAGGAAGAGGGGAAGGAUGCAGAGGGGAGCACUCAUGAGAUGACAAUAGAUGUGGAAUUUGAGUUUGUGAGUGCUGAUACUCCGACACUACCUCACGAGCAAGCGGACCCACAGUCUAUCGAGAGGUGGAUUACGAGUGGGUACUUAGGGGCUCUUAUCUACUAUGCAGUCCUUUCAUCCCCCUAUCUUCAAGUACUCUAGAUCUCAUAAGAAAGUUCAAAAAGAAGUCAGUCACUAUGACAGCGUGGUAAGUAGAGUUGUAAUUUAAUAGAACAUUUAUAUUUCAUUCACAUUCGACGUACUCAUACGAUAUGUAGGAAUUUUUUGAGAUUAGCCAUGACUUCUCCAGCUUGCAGCUUUUGGAUGAGGGGGAACGUAGGCAUGUCCUAAAUUUUUUAGAACAAAAAAUCGAUAUCUUUGUUUAUAAAAUUUUGAUUUCCUUCAACCUAAUAGUCUUUAGUUCUGAUAUUAAUUUCUCUAUAUAGGUCAUUGGUUUGGAUUGAUGGCAUCAGUUUCAUCAAUCGAUAGCAUGUUCAUAACAUUCUAUCUGAAAAUUUAAUUGAUAAUGAUGUAAGUACUAUGUACUAAGUUGUAUAAAUCAAAGAUAUAUAUAAGUUAAUUUUAUUUUUUGUAAUGGAUUAUGCAGGUCAUAGACGUUUUUUGGUCCCUCCUUUAGCAGCAUGCAUUGAUCGAUAUUUUAAUAUAUUUGGAGUUUAUCUUUUUAUUGCGAUCUUUCUUUAUAGUAAUUAUUUAGUAUUUUUAAUGCAAUGUCAUGUUUUGAUGUAGCGUUGUUCUUUAUAAUAUAUGUUUCAAUUUUUUUUUCUAUUUUUAGAGCAUGUUGCUAGGCUUAUGGAAGGUAUCCGAUAAAGCUAUGCGAGAUUUCAUGUCUCAUUCAUUGGCUGAAGUCAAACAGAUGUUCGUGUCCAUAUGCUCGUCGACACAUUAGUAUCUGCUUAUUGUGGAUAUAAAAGGCAUAUGUUUCAGACACUAUACAUCCAUGAGUGGUGCAGAGUACAGGACUGUCACUAGAAGAUUUGUGAAUAAUGAUCAUAUUUAUCGAAUGUUGUGCAUACUUAUGCAUUGCUAACUAUGUGGUUGAUUUCUAAUGUUAUGUUUGUAGAUAACGUGGUUGAUUGAGAUGGCACGAGAUGUCUACUCAUAUGGAUAGUUGGCCAUUUCAUAUUGUUGGCUGUCCACAGUAGGGUGUCGGAUAAAUAUAAUAAUGAUUUGGUUUAUCAGUAUCUUUACAUUAUACGCAUUAGAGACAUGAUUCAUUUUUUUUGAAAUAACCUAAUAUGCUGAAUUAGAUAAUUAUAAGUACAAAAUAAUUUUUAUCGUGCGUACUAACGUUGCAUGCCAAAUCAAGUGCGUGCUAAGUAAUGCAUCGGACCAUUAAAUGGUCCAUGUCAAAUAUGAUUCGUUAUUGUGUUUUGUAUCGUGCCAACUAACAUAGUAUGCCUCUUACAUGGGAAAAAUUAUAUUUUCAAUGCUGAGUCCCAUAUGUGUUAGCACACGUUCGUGUUAACCAAUCUAAAGUAUUAUUUGUUUGUUUUAUUGAUAGUGAGCAUGAAAAAUUUUGUAGAUUUGAUUAUGCUAUCUACAUCAUGCAUUUUAUAGAGAGUAUGAUAAUUAAAGAUAGAUCAUAAUUAUCGAAGUUCGUGUAACAGAGUUACGUGUCAGAUAUGUUGCGUAGGUGAUUAUGAAGGAUCACGAGACGAGAUUGUCAUAGUUUAUUUUGUGUUAUUUUUGUAAUCAGAUGUGUUGGGUCCAUUCUUUAUAUAUAUUUGUGAUUUGUGUAUUCUGUCUAAACAUUUGGAUGUAUUGUGAAUCUCUUGUGAAUAAAUUUGUAUGAAAGUCUAUAAAAAAAUAAUUUAUAGCAGAUGAAUCAGUUGUAUUUAUUAUGUUAUUGAUGCAAUGGAUUUGUUGAAAUCUGAAUUUGUUCUUUAUAUUUUUUUAAGUUAGCAGGUUAUAUCAUGUUUAUUGAUAGAUCCGAUAAUUAUAAAGUUUUGCAGUUGGUAUGAGUAUUGUUUUUUAGAUCAUUUUGCCACAGCAGGGUGCAAGAUAAAUAUAAACCAUUUCAGAAUAAAUAUGAAUCUUGUAGAAUAAACACAAACUGUGUAUAAUAAAUAGAACUUUUACUGAAAUAAGCAUAAAUCUUGCAAAAUAAAAAUAAAUUUGGUGUCUAGUCUCUACCCUUUAUACUAAAUAAUAAAUACAAAUUAAUCAAAGUUGCUCUCUGCUCUUUAUGAACUCAGAGUGUAGAAUAAAUAUAAACUAUCUCAGAAUAAACAUAAAUCCUGUAGAAUGAAUACAAACUACAUAUAAUAAAUAAAAAUUUUAUUGAAAUAAACAUAAAUCCUACAAAAUAAAUACAAACUUGGAGUCCACUAUUAUCGAGUUUGUGUUUAUCCUGUGCAGUUUUUGUUUAGUGUCUCAGUGUUUGUGUUUAUCAUUCAUAGUUUUUAUUUAUUAUAUGGAGUUUGUGUUUAUUCUGGAGUACUUUAUGUUUAUCCUGUCAUUAGUUCAUGAAAGGCAGAGAGUAACUUUUGCAGUUUGUAUUUAUCUUGAGACUGUUUGUAUUUAUUAUUUGGUGUUUGUGUUUAUCCUUCGAUAGUUUGUAUUUAUUUUCAUAGGACUUAUUGUUUAUCGUCUCUUCUAUUGUUUAUCCUGGGUGGAUUUUAGGAUUAUUUAAGUAUUGGGCUUUGAGUUUGUAUUUUUUUUGGGCCAUUUGUAUUUAUCAUCUCAGACUUUAUAUUUAUUAUUUAUAAUUUUUAUUUAUUAUACAGAAUUUAUAUUUAUUCUGAAAUACUUUAUCUUUAUCCUGUCAUGAGUUCAUGAAAGGUAGAAAGCAAUCUUGACAGUUUGUAUUUAUUUUGGAUCAUUUGUGUUUAUCAUCUCAGACUUUAUAUUUAUUAUUCAUAGUUUCUAUUUAUUAUCUGAUGUUUUCUCUGCGUGUCAGUUUUUUUUUAGCAUGUCAGCUCUUGAGUUUGUAUUUAUCUUGGGUAGUUUCUAUUUAUUGUCUCAGAGUUUAUGUUUAUUGCAGAUAGCUUUUGUUUAUUAUACAAAAUUUGUGUUUAUUCUGAUGUACUUUGUGUUUAUUCUGCUAUGGGUUCAUGAAAGGUAAAGAGCAAUCUGGAUAGUUUAUGUUUAUCCUAGUUUGUUUCUGUUUAUUAUUUGAAGUUUGUAUUUAUCCUUUGAUAGUUUGUGUUUAUUUUUGCAGGACUUUGUGUUUAUCCUUACCUCUUAUUGUUUAGCUUGGGUGGACUCUUGGAUCACUCAAUUUUUGAAUUUCAAGUUUGUGUUUAUUCUGGAUAAUUUUUGUUUAUCGUUUCAGAGUUUGUAUUUAUUAUAAAUAGUUUCUAUUUAUUAUACGGAGUUUGUGUUUAUUCUAGAGUACUUUGUGUUUAUUCUGCCAUGGGUUCAUAAAAGAUAAAGAGUAAUCUGGACAGUUUGUGUUUGUCUUGGACUUGUUUGUGUUUAUUAUUUGGAAUUUAUGUUUAUUCUCUGAUAGUUUGUGUUUAUUUCUAUAGGACUUUGUGUUUAUCUUCCUCUCUUAUUGUUUAUCCUAGGAGGGUUGUAGGAUGAUCUAAGUGUUGGAUCCCGAGUUUGUAUUUAUUUUGAGCCAUUUGUGUUUAUCGUCUCAGACUUUGUAUUUAUUAUAUUGGAUUUCUGUUUAUUCUGUGGUGUUUGUGUUUAUCUUGAGAUAGUUUGUGUUUACUCUAGAUAUGUGUAUAUUUAUUUUAUGCUCACAGUCAACAAAAUAAAAAAAUGAAAGCUAUAUUAAUUGGCAUAGAGUAAAUAUUUGAACUUUAUAAUCAUCAAUGUCACAUCAGAUGUACAAAACGUAAUAGAGCAAAUCAUAUUGUUCGGUAGGAGUUAUAAAUUCAUAUCAUUUACAAAAAUAUUUAUUCAACUCAAAACACAAGCCAUCAUAGCAAAAUUAUAAUCAGGGGUUCUAAAACACCAGUGAGCUUACGCAAUCAUCAAAUUUUUCUUCUUUAGAUGAACUGCUGCUGAUGUAGGCUUCGAAAUCAUCUACAUGCAUAAAGUAUAACCAUCCAAGAAGUCAUAAGAAAAGUUUUUGUUAAAAUUAAAUAAAUAUAAAAUAAUUAUCAAGAUGUAGUUUUUACUAAUGUUUGUCUUGUAUAUUCGAAUGUUAUGAUCCUUUUGAUGACAUUUCUUGCAUGUUCACUAUUUCUUCGCUGCAACCUCCAUUUAGUGCUUGAACCUGCUAAGUUUUUUGUGAUCUUUACAAUUAGAAACUGGAGGAUCUUUAAAUACCAUGAAAUUAUCAUUUAUUUUUUUUGUUUAGCUACAUUAUGUCAUCACUAUCAGAAACUGAGUACAGCUCUCAUCUAUUAUAUUUUGUUCUGUAAAUAGAUUCUUCUUCAGUGAACAAAUUUUUUUAAUGAUGGACUCCACAUCAUUAAUGACAAGAUCAUAUAUUUUUUGGAGGGUACAAUUAUCAUAUGCUAAUUUAAAAAGUUUUUUACAUAGCCCAUUGAAUCUUGUAGUUCUCGACGUCGUGUCUUUCUGAACUUUACAUACACUAUGUGCCAUAUCAGCAUCUAUUUCUUUGGCAGAUUUCAUCUAGCAUUUUAAUAUGUAAUGUGCAGGGAUACGAUGAAUUCAUAAAGUAAUGAGAACUUUUAACACAUGAGCACAUAGAAUGUCACUGAAUUCAAAUAUUAGACAUGAGCAUGAAAAUUUCUCCUCAGACAUAAUACAUGUUACAUAAUUUGCUAUUCUCUGUUGUGCAUUUCUAUUAGGAGCCUCAAUCUCAAUUAUAUCAUACAAUUUAUACUUCUCUACCUUCUCCAUAUCAUACAUAAUUGUCAUUUUGAGUUGCUCCCUAAAAAGCUUAAAAAUAGUUCUUGUAUACACUUCAAGAGCAUGUUUUUCGAUUAGAUACUUUGACCAUAAAUUUGGUUGAACGUGGUAUGUCUGAAAUUCUUCUUCAUCCUUUCGAUCAUAUCUGCUCUCCAAGACUACCUCAAACUGAGUAACAAAUCUGAAAAUAUUUAUAUGAUUAUUUACAUAACCCUUAAAUAGUGAGUGUAUACUUUCACUGCGUUGUGUUGUAGACAUAAAAAUAAAGAAUAUAUAUCUAAAAUAUGCAGGCAUCCAUUGGUUUCAUAUAUUGAAUAGGUGAUCAAGGUAGGCAUUAGACUCCAAAGAGUAUUUCUUGAUAAAUGCAUCCCAACAAUGCUUAAACUGCUCUGGAGAGAUAGAAGCAUUAAUGCAAUGAUGAAUAUCUUCCUUCAAUCCAUCUUUUUUAUUAAAAAGAACGAAUAGACGUUUUAUGACAUUUUUCAGGACAUGUCACUUACAAAAUUGAUGGAAAUUAUUAAGAAAAAUAUGCUCAAUUGUCUUUUUCAUUAUUGGAUCUUGAUUAGUUAAUAUGUAUUUUGGGUGCUUGCCAUAAUGUGUCUUCAGAAAAGAUUGGAAGAUCCAAAUAAAUAAUUCGAUACACUCAUCUCGAACUAAUGCGCAAUUGAAUAGAAUUGACUGCAUCUGGUGGUUGACACCAACAAAUGGGGCAAAAGGCAUGUUUUAUUUGUUUAUUAUUAUGUAUGUAGUGUCAAAUAUCACAACAUCACCAAAGUAUUGGUAAGACAAUCUUGACCUUCCAUCAAUCUAAAAAAUAUUUUAGAUACUAUUGUCGGCAUCUAAUUGGAUGGCGUAAAAGAAAAUUGGAUUCUCGGUUUGCUGAGUUUGAAAAUGAUUAACUGUUAUUUGCAGGUCAAUAUUGAAUAACUAUUUUUGGAGGUUGGUUCUAAGGUUGCUCAAAUUCUUUCUAGUGAAACUUACAUUUCAUAUACCUCUAUGUAAUUGUGAGAUUGCACCCAUGAUUUGUUGAGUUGAAAUAUUUUGAUUAUGUAAAGUUUUUAUAAACUCUUUAUCUUCUAAGGUGAUCUUUCUAUGUGAUCAGAAGAAGUGAGUUUUUGAUGGGUUAUGAAUAAGCUUAUGAUUAUGAACAUCGUGAAGCAUUGUAACCUCCCACUUACCAAUUUCAAUCUUUUUAAUAUGCAUUUUUGCUUUAUAUCAGUGUGAAUGCUCUAUCCUUUCUUGCGUGGCGUUAUAGUUGCUUCAUGAUCUUGCCUAUCAACUGCGAUAUUGAUCUUAGGUUUAUAUACCCCUUCUUUACAACAUGAAAAUUCUUGCUACUGAUCCCCUUACUUUUGGAGGAUCAAUAAGAUGAUUCUUUUCGAAUACCAAAAUCUUUCUUAUACGUAUAUUGGUUGUAGGUUUCUAUUAUUUUUUCUUGAAUAUCGAAGAUCAUCCCUUCAUGCAAUACUAAAUCUUUAGUAUUUUCUGAGUCUGGACUCUGGUCAAUAUAAUCUUCUCCAUUAGAAGUUCUCUUUAUAUGAUUAUUAUUAAAUGAGUUUGGAGUGUCAUCGAGUGAAAUAUAAUCAUAGACAUUGCUUUCUUCCCUUAUAAAGUAGUUGGUGUGCUAAAGAUGGCUGUCAUGUUGUCAUCGUACAUACUUUCCACAUUCAUAAUAUGUGUAAUUCGAUCUAAUUACUGGUAAUAAAAUACAGUUAGUAUAAGUAGCAUUAAAGUACAUAGAUCAAUUUUACUGAUGCAUAUCAAAUUGAGACCGUAUUAAAUAUCAACUUCAAAUUGAUGCUAUUCUAUUAAAAGAAAUACUUUAGUAACUAAAAUCAAAGAUAUAACUAGGCAUGCAUUUCAAACUAUAGCUCAUGUUAAAAGUUAAUCAUUUAUCAUUCACAUAAGUAUAAACAUAAUCAUUAAAUAUUAAAAAAAAAUUAAUUAGUAAGUCUCAAGUAUCAACUUGAUUGAUGACAUUUAAUUGACUUUAUCAAAUAACACUAAUAAAAGAACUUUUUUUUUUCAAAAAUAAUAUUUUUUAAAUAAAUAUUUUUUUUAUCCAAACAAUAUAUGCAUGAAUAAUGUUAUUAGAUAUGAUUAUUUUUCAUAUCAUAAUAAUAAUUCUUAUCCAACGAAUCAAGAUUUCAAAAUAUAACCAUCAACCUUAUGAUGAAUUAAGCUAUGUAUGAGUUCUUAUAAUUGAAUAGUCUCUAUAUUUUUCAUAUCAUAAAUUUUUUAAAAUAUCACAUAUAUAUUUAAUACAUUCACUGAAAUAUUUAGCCUCUAAUGACAUAACAAUAGUAAAAAGAUACUUUGCACUCAAUUAGCAUAGAACAAACAAUUCCAAUGAGAUGUUUGCACUACAGACAAAAGGAGGGAAGAAGAGAAGUAAAUGCCAGUGAGAUGUUUGUACUGGAGAGAGAGUCGGCAAUGCAUUUGCAUCGAAGAGAGAGCUAGCGAUGUGUUUGCAAUGAAGAGAAAGAGCCGGCGAUGUGUUUGCACUGAAGAGAGAUCUCUGACGAUGUAUUUGCGAUAGAGAGUCGGCGAUGUAGUUGCAUCGGAGAGAGAAAGUCGGCCACGUAUUUGCGAUGGAGAGAGAGUCAUGAGGUGUUUAUGUUGGAGAGAGAUGGAGAAGAAGUUUCUUUUGGGGAGAAACAAAGGGAAAGAGAGAAAGGAGGUUUUGCUGGUGAGAGGGAGGGAAGAGUUUCAUUUUCAAAUGAGAAGGUCUGCUCUCUCACUCCUUUUCAGUCUCAUCCUCAUUAAAGGAACAUCAUAGCUUUAAGAGGAAAAGAGAUGGAAAGAAGAAAACAUACGUGAUCCCAUUUAAAGCAUUCGUCUUUUCUUAUUAAAUAAUGUGAGAUUAGCUAAUGGGCUCCCGAACUCCUCCAUUUGUUUUUAGGAGACUCUUUGAAAUGCAUAUCGAUCCAACAGUCGAGGAAUCGAUCGGAUAUGGAUUGGGAUGUGAUCAAUCAGAGCCCAGUCUAGCUCUCUUUCUCUCUCUAUAUAUAUAUAGUAAGAAAAAAUAAGUUAUAGCUGUCUAUUUUUUAUGGAUGAUUUUAUAAUUUUGGAUCUAUCUAUUGAGUAGAUAUCUUUAACAAAAUAUUUAUUAUAUUUUAUUUCAUAUUAAUUUAUUAAUAAAAAAUAAAAAAUAAUUUUUAUUUUAUUAAAAUUUAUUAUAUUAUAUUAUUUAUUAUUAAAGUAAGUUAAUUGAGUAAUUAUUUUUUCUAUAUUUUUAUAUGAUUUUGUUGAUUUAGUUAUAUUUGCUCAUAUCUCUUAUCUGUAAAAUUUUGUUAUAUUUGAAAAAUUAGUAUAGUAAUUGAUAGAUAUUUCGGUGCUUAAUUUUGCGACAGAUACAAGAUCUGACAGAUUCACUCUUUCGACUAUGAUCAAAAAAUUUUUUUAACAUCACCUGUCUUCUAAGUUAUAUUUAGAUCGUAAAAUUUUGAUGAUAACAAUAGUACUUUCAGGAUGAUACAUAUUUUUUAAGAGAAUAAAUUUGAGCCAAUUAAUUUGUGUGAAAGUUUUACGGUUGGAUCUUCUACGUCUCAAAUGCUGAAUGAGCCUAGUUUUAAUAUGUCUGGCAUGAAUUUUUUUCAAAAACUAUGCCUCUACGAAGAAUAUUUAAUACGGAUCAGUAAUAUAUUUUAAUUAUUUAAAAUUUUAUUUUCAAUAAAAAAUAUAAAUUAUUUUUAAUCUCUAUACGGAUAGUUUCCAACAAUGCCGCCAAUGGAAAAAAAUUACGUUUGAGAUAUUUUGCUAUCAUAUUUUUUUUAUAAAUUUUUUAUAAUUAUAUUUUUAAUAUAUUUUUUUUAUAUUUAUGCAGUUUGGAUGAAUAUUUUGAGGGCACUGAAGAUUGAGAAUUUUUUUUUGACUCUCUUCUAUUUAUCAAGAUCCGUAGCUAGCACGGGUUAUUUGUUGGUUUAGUCAAUAACGCUAGCGUAAACAAAUGGGGUGGCUCCCACGUGUCUGGUCUCGGCUUUCCUCUAAAGUGAGCUUCUGGAACUGGGAAUUAAUCUGUACUUUUCUUAAAUAUCCGUAUAAUUAAAUUAUGCGGAGCCUCUGCCGUCUAGUUACGUGGUCGAGGGUCACCGAACUACGAGCAAGUGGACGGAAGACAUUAUAGUCGGCAUACAAUUCUCUAUGCGGAACCCGGCUCACCAUAUAUAUAAAGCUAAGCCCUGGUGGUGGCAUCUUCACUUCUUCAAAAUAGAACGAAAGAAGGGAAGAAAUUUUUGCCAUGGCCGGGGGUUUCAAGCUCGAUCAGAAGCACGGAAAGGCAAGGGUGAGGGUUUCUAGGGUUUGGAGGAGGAUCGCUAGCGCCGGCGGUGGUGAUGUCAUCGUCGAAUGGAACGUCAGCGUCAGCCUCGACUCCAAUUGCCAUCCCGCCUACACCGCCGGCAACAACUCCGCCAUCGUCGCCACCGAUACCAUGAAGAACACGGUAAGCUUCCACCCCUUCUCGUCGAUCUGUGUAUUAUCGUCAGGGCUCGAUUCGAUGAGCGUGUUUCGGAUUUUAAUAUCUCUAAUCGUAUAAAAAUGUUUGCUUGGUGCGCGAUGGAAGGUUUAUGCCAAGGCGAAAGAGUGCUCCGAGGUCGUCUCGAUGGAGAGCUUCGCUGUUCUUCUCGCAAGGCAUUUCACGGCGUUCUAUCCAGAGGUGAUUUAGCUUUUCUUGUUCUGUUUCCCCUUUAUUUUUCCUUUGGUUGUAUAUUGCUUUCAGGAGAAAAGGAGUGAAUUUUUUUUUAUCUGUUGUUGAUAUUAGGUCACGGCUGCCACCGUCAAUAUUGUUGAGAAGCCUUGGGAGCGUGUGGUGGUGGACGGGCAACCCCAUUCACAUGGUCUCUGUCUAAAUAACCCUCUUUUGCUAAUUUUUGGUUUUGCAAUGGUUUCAAAAUUGAGCAGUGAGAACAGAAAUAGCUGUUAUUAAAUCCCAUUUUCAGAGGAAGAUCCCUUCCAUGUUGGGGAAAUCAAGUAAAAGGUGAUACUUUAUAUAAUGGUGAUAACAUGAAGCCAUAAGUAAGUCUGUUUUAUGGUUAUAAUUAAGAGUUUUGAUCUUAAGUUGGCAAGGAUGCAUUUUUGUGGCACAGAGGUGAAAAUACUAAAUCAAAUCUUCCCUUCGUUCUUAUAAUUUUAUUUGGUCCUGCCCAUAGCCUAGAAGUUGGGUUUCGGUGUCUCCAGAUCUGUUUGAUUGGCUUAUAUCUUUAAUUUAAGGAUCUCUAUCAUUGAAUGCAUGAGCGGUGGAAUUGAGACUGUUUUCUAGAAGAUUGAGAAGAUCGAAUCUUGUUCGUAAUUUUGUGCACUUAAUAGCUUCUUUUUUAUGCCUGGUCAGCUAACGUUAGUAGCUUUCACAUGCAUGGCAGCUGGCAGAAGUUAUAUCAUCUCAAGUCUAUGUUUAAAAAUAUUCAGGCUAAUAUUUUGCUUCCAGAUUUCCCUGUUCUCUAUUAUUUGCAGUGCUAACCCAUAGCCGUCUGUUUAAAUUCGCCAGCACAAAGUGUGGUCAAAGUGCACUCUCUAAUUUAUAAUUGGUUGUUCACCUACAGGAUUUAAACUUGGGUCUGAGAAGCAUAUGACUGAAGUAACAGUGAGCAAGUUUGGUGCUUUGAGCAUAACCUCAGGAGUUCAAGGAUUGGCCCUACUAAAAACAACGAAGGUAGCAUGCUUACUGAUAACCUUUUUUUAAUCUUUUUAAUGUCAUUAUAAUAUGCAUUGUCAGUGGAUUAGCUUUCACGUGACAAAAAGAAAAGCUGAGAGCUACCAACAGUGUCAUGUUUCGAGAUAAUUAAGUUAUAUAAGCAUCUAUGAGUAGGCAAGUAUUUACUUUACCUAAAUAUCACAUGUACCUAGCACCUACUUUCAAGUACAAUUUUUGGAUCAUUCCUAAUGAGGACUAUAUAAAUAAAGAGGUAGGACUUUCAGAAAUGGAAUUAAGUAUUAGAAAGGGUAGAAAGAAAUUUUUGCUUACUUGAAUCCACGCCAGACUUGGCAAUCCUUUUAUUUCUUGUUUAUGUUGGUGGAUGCAAUUCUGCAUUCUUAUUUAUCUUGUUCUUUUGUCAUUAAUAUAACUCAACUUUGACACCUCUUUAGAUUGUGCAGAUAUUUUUAUGAAUUAACAACUAAGAUUGCAUUUGUUGAAUGUAAUCAAGUAGCAUGUUUCUGAAACCAUAUGGAGCUUCGAUAUAAUAAAAUAUGAUUGUAUUCCAAGUUAGGAGUUCUUUUACAAGGCUGUGAACUAAUCUCAGCUUCCAUGCAUAUCUUAAUUUUGCCUAGGCAAUUUACCAAAUGAUUAUAUUUCUAUUUCAGUUAAUGCACACUUCUAGGAUUUUUUUCACGGAGCCUUAAGAAGCUGCAACCUCCAAUCAAUCUGCUAUAAGUUCUUUGAUGUUUCAUUAUCCAGAUAGUUGGUCAGGUCUUGGUUGCAUCAAAAUUGGUUAGGACUGGGUCUCAAUCAAUUCUUGGUUGAUCAAAUUUAUGCAGUCCUCCAUCUAUGGAGUUUCUUUAGGUUUUUGUUAAUCUGACUUUGGUCAUGUAAAGGAGGUUUGUGUGCAUGGCUAGUGUUGUAUCUACUCUGCAUUCCACAUUUCUAUCUAUGGGCUAUAAAUUCCCUUGACUUUCCUCUGUAUGCCUACCACAAGAAUGAAAAAUGGGAUCUGCAUCUCCACCAUGCAACAUGAGAAUUAGUGUUUGAGUAUGACAUGCUUUAUAAAGUCUUUUUUUACUCACUUUAUGGAAUUACAAUCAUCACCAAGUUUUACACUAUCAAGAUUCCUUCACCAGUACUUUUCUGAAACCUUUUCUUUUCUCUUUCUUUGUUUCUUUUCCUCUUCUUUUCUGUUUUCUUUCUUGGGUGAUCGUUUCAUAGAAAUGACCCAAAGCUUGGACAUGGAACCUCCUCCCAGUGGAAGAGGCUGUGUAACCACUGGAUCAUAUUCCUUUUUGUCACUCUUUAGAAACAUUCUUGUCUGCUAUCAGUUGCUUCCUAGUGUACAAUCACAAUAAAAUGCUGUGGUUUAUUAGUUCAUGCUUGUGGAAAAUAUAGGAAAUCAUUCCUGGAAUAAUGUCAAGUAUGGAUUUGCUUCUUGGUACUGGAUUCUCUUAAAGAAUUGGUGAACAUCCACUUCAAUACAGAACUUGGCAAGGCACGACAAUCAUAUGUCUUGGAAAGGGAUCAAAAGACCUGCUUAAUGUGGGGCCAUUCUUUUAAAGAGUAUACAGAAUGGUUGUGCUAAGUUUGCUUUGGCCAUCCCCUUGGAAUGGGUCUUAUUGGUAUUACAUACAGAUGUUCCCUGGGUACCUUCUUCUCUGUUUUAAAAUUUUUCCAAUUCAAUCUUGUAUAAGAUACUUCCACAUCUAUAAAUAUCUAUAGAAAUUUAUGGGAUGUAAAAUUUUAUAAAGACAUAUCACUGAAUUUAGUAAUCGUUUUCCUUUGUUUACAUGCAGUCAGGUUUUGAAGGGUUUGUAAGGGACAAUUACACGCUUCUUCCAGAAACAAGGGAAAGAAUGGUAGCAACAGAAGUCACUGCUUCUUGGAGGUCUUAUCUUAUCCUUUAAAGACGCAUCUAUCCAAGAUAGAAGUCCUAGUUAUUUCUUGUUGGUCUGUCCAUUGUUUUUGGAUCAUCAGUUUGGCUUUUUAUGUUACCAAAAUGCUCGGCUAAGAAUAUAACUUUGCUUUUCUGUGCCACUAUUGUAUGGAUUCGGAAAUGGAAUUGCAAAAUUUUCAAUGUCAAACAAGACAACUUUCUUUUGUGUGUAUUAGAAAGAAACGUAUUUCACAGAAUUUGCUACCAACACACUACAAGGUUAUUGGUAUUGUUCGUGAAAUUAAUGAGACACAAGGAGUCGACAAAACCUAUCCAGUCAUAAAACAUAUUUUACCAAGAGUCAGCAAAAGCUGGCAUGUGAAACCACUAAUUGACUAAUUAAACCCUGCCUAUACGUUCUUCUACUUCUAUAUUAUUGUUCUAAUUCUUGCUUACUCUGAGAGCUGCUUAUCCAAAGGGUGACAAAAUUUUGUGAUUUUGCUUAUUGCGCAUGCAGGUAUCCUUUUGAACAUGUUUCCGAUAUUCCUGCUAAGCCAUUUUGUUUCACAGAAAGAUACGAAGGUGUGAAGAAAGUUCUGGUUGAUACCUUCUUUGGUCCACCAGAUGUGGGAGUUUACAGUCCAUCCGUUCAGAACACACUCUUCCUUAUGGCAAAAGCUGUUCUGAGCAGGUUGAUCUCUUCUUGUUCACAACCCCAUCAGUUGUUAUGUUUAAUGGUAUAGUAUUUUUGCCAAAACGUUCCCAGCUUAAGCUUUUGUGUCAUAAUUUUUCCAGGUUCCUUGACAUAGUAUCAAUUCAGCUCAGAAUGCCAAACCUCCACUUUUUACCAGUCAAUUUAUCCAGCAAGGAAAACCCAGACAUGGUGAAGGUGAGAUAUAUGGUAAUUUUUGCAUUAUGUUUGGUUUAAAAUGUAGACUUGCACUGGAAAUAAAUUGAAAGAGAGCAGAAAACCAUGCACCGCACGUGGUGCAGAAAACCGUGCACCGUGUGCGGUGAUUCACUCAUGCAUGGGCCUGGGCCGUCGGCGGGAAAUUUUUUUUUUUUUUUGCCAGCCCCAUGCAUGAGCGGCUACUGGUAGUGCACAUAGUAGGAAUCAUUGAUUUUAGAAUCAGCGAUUCUGCUUGAUCCUCACCUUUUAUUCUUUAACACAUCAAGUUUCUAAAAUUACAAUGAUCAUCAAUGUUGUUGAUGUCACAUCAAAAUGUCUACACACCCAUAAAAGUAGCAGGAAUAUUCACAUAAACCGUAAACUAAAGAAUAAGCACUGCUUGUUUGAAACACACAGCAUGAUAACUGUUGCCAUGUGCUCACACACAUUUUUUACACAAUACGAUGGGGAUGGAAAGGCUAUUUUGCCCUUUAUUGUUCUUUCAUUUUCAUCUCUAGCAGGCUGAUGCAUUUCACAAUAAUACUUGAGUUCCACAAAACCUUGAUGUUAAAAGUUUAAACCAUAAAAAGCUAUGACAUUUUGGAGUUCUUUUUUUUUUUUGAAAAAAAAAAGGUCGUGGUGGAAGGAAUGACACUUUUAACAUUCUAUUUUGAUACCUUGCAGUUUGCUGAUGAUGUCUAUAUGCCGACUGAUGAGCCACAUGGUACCAUAGAAGCAACACUGAGCCGCACCAUGUCCAAGAUGUAGACAUUGAUGGCGGCCCUUUAUUGAACACUAAAUUGCUACAUGACUGAUGUUGUAUGGUCACCUGCUUCUCUUUGGGAUUUAGAGAUUACAUCAAUUUAAUAAUGCUUUAUAUUGAAGGGUGAGAUCUCAUCCACACUUGGUUAAGACAAUACCAGGGGCCACCCCCCGCAAACCAUAUGCAGAUUUGGAUAAAAUAACGUCACCGUAAAUAUUUUCAACUCUCAAGUUUUUGAACUAUUAUAAGCAUUAUGAUUCUUUAUUUUUUGAGAUAAGUAUUGCAAUAUUGAACCAUGGAGUUCUUAUCCAAUGGCAUACGGCUCAUGCCCAAUUAUUUUAGUAAUGUGGUCAUUGGUGCCAGAUCAGCGCUUCACACACACCACCAUUAAUAUUUAUAGUUUAUUUUCAAAAGAAAUUAGCUGCGAGAAGCUUAGCUUAUUUUUAGACUCGUUUAUAUAAAAACUGGAGGAAAUAUUCCCUUCCCGAUGCUGUCAUCCGCCCAGGCAUUUGGUCUGCCUCUACUACUAUUAUUUCUUUAACAAUGCUGUGAUAAGUCAGAAAAAAGAUGCAAAAUCGCUCAGUUCCCUGCAUCAUUCAUCGCGGUUCACUAUGUGGCAGUGCCUUUUUUUUGUUUGGAUUUACAAUUUUGGGUUUCUAAAUUUUUCCCCCAGUCCAUGGUAUUAUAACUAUUCUAAAAUAGUUAUAAUGGUAUUAUUUAGAUAAUGGUAUUAUAACUAUUUUAACGGUAUUAUAACUAUUUUCUUGGUCACCUUAUUUUAUAACUUGAUUAAAUUUUUUGGGGUUACACUUUCAAAUGUUACAAAAAAGCAAACAAUUAUAUUAUGGGUUUAGAUUCUAUCUUUUGUGUGAAAAAAAUGAUUGAACUUCUUUUGGAUCACACCAUGCACAGCUCUCAAAACACUCCAAUCAAGCACCAAUCAUAUUUAAUAGUUGAUGUUGCAAAAGAGGAUGAAUCAUUCUAACGAAAGAUGCAAUUCGACCCUUGAUAUUAUGGGCUCAUUCUUUUAUAGAUAAAAAAAUUAUUUAUUUAAAAAUUUAUAUUUUUUUAAAUAAAUAUUUCACAUGCAAUAUUUAAAUAGAAAAAUAAUUUAUUUAUAUACUUUUACAUGUAGAAAAGUAAUUUCAAAAUCUAUUAUCCAUAUUUUUUUGCAUUACUAUUUUUUUAGAUAAGUUAUUAAAAUUUAUCUAUAUUUUUCAUAAUACUCUUUAUAUUUUUUAAAUUUGGAGAGAGUGGAUAACUGAAUUAUUGAGCAUUAAAAAAAUGAAGACAUUGAAAAUAAAAAUAAGAUAUUUUAAAAAUAAAAUUAAAUAUCUAUUUUACUAGCUGAUGGAAAAAUGAUUUAAUCAUCUCUAAUUAGAUAAGCUUUUCUUCUCAUUUUUUGGAUAAAUGCUAUGCAUAAAAAAUAACUUAUCCAUCUUGAAGAGUGUAAAAAUAUGAAUAAGUUAAUCAAUGAGAAAGUUACCAACUUUCUCAUGAUAUUUACCAAUAAAAGAAUGGACACUAUAAGGAUCUUGGACAAAUUCCUCCUAGACCAUUAGUGCAACAUGUAGAUUGAGCACAUGUGAAGGCUGGAAGAACAACUCGAGGAACUCGAUCCUCGCCCAAUAAUUGUUCAAAAAAAAGUAUGCUAUGGAAUUAGCAACUUGCUCACCUAAAGCCUCUUCAAUGGUUGAAUGAAUAUGUCAGCAUACAAAUAUAGAAGAGUUAAGAGAACCAAAUAUAUUUCGAUGAUGAAUGCUGUCAGAGUACUGAUAUAUAAGCAGAGGACAGCUGUUAUGCUUGAAUGCCAGUUCCAUAUCCAAACAGGGCAGCAGAAAUUUUAUCAGAGAAAAUAUAACAAAAAGGACACAACUGGCAGAGCAUAAUUAAUGUGAUCCAAUUUAUUCACCUCAAUAUCUAGUGAGGCAAUGGUUUAUGAUGAAAAAUUUUGACCACACCAAGCAGUUUGACAUAAUUUUCAAAAUGGAGAAUUUAAUCCAUAAGUAACCACCACAUCAAGUGACAUCAAAGAGUAAAUGAUCCGCGAUGCAGGCCAUGUAAUAUACUAAGAUAUGGCUGAAUUGAUGUGCAGGUGCUGGUCUACGUCCACUCAGUUUUCUCAAGAAAGGCAGUUGAAUCAGAGACUAUCUAUACUUGUGCAGCUGAAUCUGGCUGCAAAUGGGAGCUGAAAAACUUCAGAACAUCCUCAUAGACGGGUUUCUUAAAAUCCACUGCCUGCUCGAAAUUUUUAGAGGUGGAAAGUAUCAGAUUGCAAGUCCUCUAUCUUUUCAUAUUUUUCAGGAAAUGAGAGAAGCAAUAAAAGGGUCAAGAUUACCCACGAGUUCAAUUACUUGCUGUGGUGUCAUCCAUGACCAUUCCGCAAAUUCUGGCUUUUCAGAUCCAUCACCAGAAAGAUUUAUCUCUUCCUCUUUUCCAGUAAAUCUAAAUAAAAACCUACAUACCAAUACAGGAACCAGCUAGAUCAACAGUGAGAAAUAUGACUGAGGCUUGAACAGUAAGUUUGAUUAACAUUAUCUGCAGUGCCUAUAGUUUCAAUAUAUACCAAAUUAAAAUUUAAUGAAAUAUGAACAGGAUGAUUGAAGCUUCAAAGUGAGAAAUAUGACCAAGUCUUGAACAGUAAGUUUGAUUAACAUUAUCUGCAGUACCUAUAGUUUCAAUUUACACCUAAUUAUAAUUUAAUGAAAUAUGAACAGGAUGAUUCAAGCUUCAAAUUGUUUAUUCUUGAAGAACCUGAUCUGCCAAUAUGUAUGCUUAAAUACAAUCCCAAGAGAGGUGACAAAACAGUCUGGAGAAAAUGAGAAAGAAAUUAAACAAAAUUGAAGACAAAAAGACUUCAGAUGCCAGUUUCACUAUUGGUACAUCUUGGUGAUAAUGAAAAAUUUAUCAAUAUGAAAUAAAAUGAAAAAAAAAAAAGUCAAACAAAUUACUGCUGCAUGAAAGUUACUUUUGCCCUAAAAGAGUGCCCAUUUAACAUAGGUAUCCUUUUUAUAAAUUUAAUACGAUUUACUGAUAGUCAUCCACUUGUAUUACACAUGGACCUAUUUCUACUCAAAUAUGCAUAAUGGGAGGAACUAAUAGUAUUCAGACAAACUAUUUGGACACACUUCAUCUUUCUAGGCUUCCCUAAGAAGGAUGUGACAGAAAAUAGUUGUAGUGACUUAAUUUACAUCCUGUAUUCUCUAAGUAAAACAAUUCCAGAAAAAUCUUUUCCUUCUAAUGCUUCAGACAAAGCUGACCUUUUUCUUUUAUCCCUUUAAUUUGAGUCCAAUUAGUUGUCCUUGUAUCUUCGUCAAGGGUUGAGAAAUGUGAUGGUAUUAAGAAAUUUGUGUAAUAUAUGGUUACUUUUGAACAUGAAAAAGUGAUGUGUCCAUCGUUAUAAUCAGGCAACAUUUUAAACAUGAAAGUUGUACGAUCAUGACCCAAACAUAGAAAAUGACUCUGCCUUCACAUUAUAUAUAUCUUUUUUGAGACCUGCUCAAGGGGCUGCAUUCUCUCAGGAAAUUUAUGAACUUCUCAAGACAACUUCUUUAACCUGAUUGGUGCAUCCUCAUGCAUCUGUGAAGCAACUAUAUCAACAACAUGAUCAUAGUACACAGCUUAUUUCUUGUUUAGGAUGAGUAAAUAUAUCAUAUGGCAAUUACUUUUCAAUAAAAUAAGAAAAAAAAAAAAAGAAAAUUCUGCAUCAAUAUUUUAUCUUAUAUGAAUAAGCUCAUUCUGAUUUUCUAACAUCAACCACCAUGAUAAUAUUCACUGAUUUUGUAGAACUUGGACAUCAUGAGGCCCUUCCUAGCGUCCUCUCCCCGUGGUACCUUUGCAUCAAACAUAAAGAGAAUUUCAAGAAUUUAAGCCCCCGUCAAAAUGAAAGGGUACCACUAGUAUCAUACCAUUCUGACAUGAAACCAAGACCAAAGGCAUCUGCAAUGCACCAAUUCGCUUGAACUAGGACGUCCCAACCGUUGAGGUCCAUCCUAGUUGAAUCCUGACACGCAAGACACACUGGGAUUGUUGAGAUAGACCAGAACACAAUUAUCAUCUACUUUUCUUUUCUUUUUCUUGGUUGUUUCAGUAUGUCCCAAACCAAUGCUGCAUCGUCCUAAAAGCAAACAAUGAUGGGGCCCAGUAUCAAGACUUAAACCUAUUACCAUACACAAGGAUGACAAGCAUGUCAUGUUUAUUGGAUUCAUAUAUCUAUACAUAUUUGGAUCUCAAAUUAUACCACUUGCAAUAUCGUUGGGACAGACCAAGACGCAAUUGUCUUCUAUUUUUCUUUUCUUCUUAUUGUUGUUAUUGGUUGUUUCAGUUGUCCCAAACCAAUGCCAUAUCAUCCCAAAAGUAAACUGGGAUUGGACCUAGUACUGAGAUUUCAACCCAUGGAUGAUUUAAUUCCUGUAAGCAAGAAGGACCAACCAUGUGAUGCAGGAGCAUCUCUUUGGUCCAUAGAUUGAUAAAAAAAAAAAGUCAGCAGUCCAAGAGUCCUGAUUUAUUUGGUUUAGAAAUUGUUUGAGUUUGGAUUAUGCAUUUUAUUAAUUAAUGCAUUUUAGGUAGGAAAGUAAUCAAGAGUCCAAGAGUCCUAGCAUGAACAGUAUGCUCUACAGUAAGCAUGAUCUCUUAGGAGUCCUAGUAAGAUUCAAAUAGGAAGAUAUUAGUUGGAUUUCAAGAGGAUUUUUUUCCACAUUUAUGGAAGACCCAGAUGACUCGAACUAGGAAUUUUCUAGAGGACUGAUAAAGUCUAUAAAGAGUCCAGAAGGACUAUUGAAAAAAAAAAUAAUGGUACACUUACGAAGGGAAAGAUAAACCUUUUUGGCCAAGGUUCGGUUGUCUCCUCCUCUCUCCCCUCUCGUGUACUUCUUCUCCCAUAUCUUUUCUUAUUACUCUCUCUUCUUCCUCUUUUAUUUCUAUUUUAUUAUUCUUUCUUCUAAUUAUUGUUGACUGUUGAUUUUGCUUAAUUUUAUAUCUCAACAAAUUAAGCAUUUCCAUAUUAUGAUUUAUUUGAUUAAUAUAUCAAUCUGUUUAAUCUAAGAUCUACAUUGAUUCCUCUCUUGGUGUUUUAUUGAAUUCUACAAAUUUCUGUGCUCAAUAUUUACUAUAAUCUGGUUUAAAAUCUACAGCAGACCUUUCAAUUGACCUCUAAAUUCCUUGUUCCUUUCUCACCAGCUCCUCACUCAAAAACCCUAGACAGAAUUCUUUGUAAUACCAUUUGCUGAUAAAUUCGGUUCUAUCAUUUGUUGUCCUGUUCUUAUAACUUUGGCAACAAGCAUUAGAACUGUUUUACACCCUAAAACAUCUUAUGCCUAGGGUCUUUUUUAACACAAUGCAGGCCAACCCUAAGUGACCCUGCAUCACCAUGUCAUGUUUAUAGGACCUCAAACUAUAACCAUCUGAAAGAAAAUAAACUUCCCAAGAUCAACUGAGUAUUUACUAAUUUAGAUGAAAAUUUUAAAUUUUUGUGCAGAAUCAAAAAUUUAUAUAUUUUUUAUACCUUGACCAAAUUCACAACUAAAUAAUGACAUUUCUUUACAUCACCGAAAAGUUUCACUUAAUUUGCGAAAACUCUCAGCUAUGUUCUCAAUUGAGAUAGAUACAGACUUUAAGAAAUACAAAUGAACCAUACAUAUUGAAUGAAUGCAAAUUGAUUAGAAAUCUGCUUUUCAAAUAUCUCUUUUUUCACACAGAUGGCUAUACUUGUCUAGACUAUGGCCAACUUGACUAGAGACAUGCUUGAUCACCUGCCUGUAGGACAUUGCUGUAGUUAGCUAUUACUCUUGCAAGCAAGAAACCGAAAAUAAAAAGAUGUAGAUUGAAAAUAUUAAACAGACAGAUGUCAAGAGCAGUAUGACUGUUAUACUUCAACAAAAUUGCUGCUAAAAUAUUUUUGCAUGAUCAAUAGAUCCUUAAAUGAGUAAGAAGUACUCUAACAAAUUCUUCUUCUGAAUUAUAGAACCCUUCAGAAAUUCUCCUCAAGAGGUGCAUUCUAUCAUUCAAUUCUCCAUGACAAGAAUGAAUUUUAUGAAUGGAUUUGUUUGGACUACCGAAUCCUUGAUUUUUGGCCAUCGUGACUACUUAAUACCAUUUAGAAUGAUUUGAGGGAUUGGAAUACCAUUUUACAUGGUAAGCCCUCUAACCUAGUUUUGAAACACAAGGAGGUCAAUAAAACUCUCAAUAAAAAUUCUAAACCACUUAGAUGAGCUAGUCAAACAAAUCUUAAUUCAACAAAGCUUUUAGCAAAAGUUGCUGAGCUUGUGUUAUGAUAUAAUGAAAGAAGUAACUUCAACUUCACAGUUGGCUGGUGGGAGGGGCAAAAUCAAGAAGAAAAGGAAGGAAAGAAAUGGUGCAUGAAACCAUAAUGCCCAUGCAAGAAAGUAACCUAUAAGCAAUUUUCCAUAAUCUUACACAUUCAUGAUAAAAAACUGCUCUUGCGAGUAUCAAACGAUUAGCAAUGAACUUAUUAAACUAACUUGUAUAGAUUGUACAAGGCUUGCUGAGAAUGAUUGUUAUUAAUAUUUCCUUCCAACUGAAUAUUUGCUAUAUGCUUAUGAACAAUGAGGUCAGACCAAGAUGCUUACCACUUUUGUGCCUGACCUUUCCAAUCCGAUCCCCAUUGUUUGUUUAGUUUUUCUCUUACUUCUGGAGGGAAAUCAUACGUUAACCAAUAAGGAACCUGCAUCAAAAGUUAAGACAAUAAAGUAACCAAUUACCACCAAUGAGAGAGAAAUUAGUGCCUCGGAUAAUGAUAGUUUUUUUUGUGUAACUUCAUAUAUUCUAUCAAUAUAAAUUUUUAAAACUAAGGCUAAUAGGCAUUACGUAUUGUAAGUUGAACUGAGAAAUAAGAAAAACAAUUGUAGUGAUAUAUGAUGUGAUUAAACAUAGCAAAGAGAAGAAAUGAAUUGAUUAACACCCAUGGGACAACAAGUGGCAAUUCAUUAACCUUAUCUUGCUAUAAGUGAAAAAGGGCACAGAACAGUCUUUUUUUUUUUCUGGGUGGGGUGGGGGGGGGGGACAAAAGAGGUUUCAACAAAAAAAAUAUAUAUUUUUUCAAGAGAUAUUGUUAAACUUUCUCUAUAUUAAGACUAUAGCAGGAAAAGAAAAAGUUUUACUAGGAACAUUAUGUAUAUUUUAUGUUGGUAACAUGUUUAUUAUGAGAUUUAGCAAAUAUUAUGUUAAGUUUUUCAAUGAUCUCAUGUCUAAUUAUUAUAAUUUAUUAUGUUAAACAUCUUACAACUCCCUUUCUUUACCUAGACUCUACCUUAUGCUUGGUUAGAGUUAUGAGAGGGAGGAUGGAUGGGAUUGGAAGGAUAGAUGGCCCCCAUCCACCAUUCUUUCAGAAAAAUCUUAGACAAGAUGAAUGAAAAGGAUUAUCCAUCCACCUUGGCACACCAAUUUGAAUGCUCCCAAAUUGGGAGCAUGCAAGAAAAGAUAGAUAGAGCAUGUAAGGGACGGGUUUCUACAUGGACAAAACUUUUUUUUUUUGACAAAACCAAAAUGCUUCUUUCCUUUUUCAUUCAUUUUACUUAUAUAUAUUUUUUAUUUUACCUAUACCAUUACUCCUAUAAUAUUAAAUUUUAUUACUAGCUAUUUUGAUUUUAGUACAUCAUUUCCAUAAUUUUAGUGCAUCAUUUCCUUUUUUAUUUAUAUUCACUAUUGUUUAGUUAAUUAUUUGUAUAAAAUUAAUUAACUAUUUAAAUUAAAUUAUAAAUUAAUUAGUUAUUUACAUAAUUGAUAUAUAUAAUUAAAUCAUAUAUAAUUAAUUUAUUAAAUUAUUUAUUAAAUUAAAAUUAAAUAUUUAUAUAAUUAUAAAUUAUAAAGAUUAUAAGUUUAUAUAUUAUCUUACUUCGUUAGCAUAGAUGAGUGUCAUAAAUUGAUAAUAAUAAUAUUUUUUUUAUCAAAGGAUAAUUUAGUAAAAAAAAUAUCAUAUAAAUAUCAUCUAUCCUUCCUUUCAAUACUUCUAUACCAAACAAAAGAUAAAAUCAUUCGCAUCCAUCCAUUCAUGUUUCACCAAACACAUAAGAGGAUGGAUGGAAAACCCAUCCUUACUCCCCUAUCCAUCCUUCAAUCCAUCAUCAUACCAAACAGAAGGCUAGUGUCCACCUUGAAAAACAUGUCAGAUAAGUAUCUGCAAAUCAGAUAUGCUUCAAAAUGUCACAUGCUUAUGAAAUUCUUUAGUUGCAUUUUUUUCACAUGUCAAUUGAAAAUUGGUCCUUCAAACUACUAGCCGAACCCACCAUUAUGAUGUUCAAAGAUUUUGUAAUUUCUAGAAUUUCACUGUGUUACUCUUACAAUUUGGUUGAGGAAGGUAUUAAAAUAACUAUUAAACAUGUCAUGUUUCUUGUAUCCUUGAGCUAAGUUUUUUAGAUAAAGAAUAUAUUCAGUAUAACUCCUUAUCAAGCAAUAUUUAGUAUUUUCUAUAAUGAAAUAUUUAACAAACAUUGAAUGCAUAAAAUUUGGCCUUUUCUCUUUAUAUCUACCUAUCUCUGCCUCUCUUUUUUUUUCCCCUUCUUGCCAAGUCAAACACUCAGAUACAUGUUUGAAUCCAAUUCUCAUGACUGUGUCCAUGCAAAUUUGAACCCGUCUCUCCUCUUUUGCUCCAUGUGCAUGGAUUACACAUCUCAUGUCCCAAGAAUUUGUAGCACACUUCUACUAAGUUGCAUAGGAAAAAAUAGCCCCCACUUUCUUCAUGGUUCACAUUUCUAAUUAUAAUGUAAUUUUUUUCUUUUAUAUACAUAGCUAUCCUGUACACAUUCAUAAAGAUACCAUACAUAGGCCUCCUAUCCACAUUCACUACACAAACCACUUUAUAAGGCCACUGAUUUUACUUAGCUGUAUCUGUUUAACUAUCUUCAUUCCUCACUAAGUUUUUCACAAAGUUAAGAUACACUCAUCAAACCUUAAUAACUAUUCAUAACGAACAACUAAUUCCUUUAGACCACUAAAUCCUAAUUUAUCCUUUCCGUUAUUACAACACUAAGUACUUGAAUGGACAGGUGUUUUACCAAACCUAUGCAUGCUUGAAACUUCUCUGGACAAUUUUUUAGCAUACUAAGUUUUGGUCCUGCCUUUUGAGGAAAACUUAUUAGAACACCUAUUAGAGCACGGAAAGGCUAACUAAACAUAAAAAUAUUCAUAUCAACUAUUUCCAGAUAUCAUAUGGAAUCUUUUACUUCUCUAGCAGUAGCACUCAAUCAUAGACCUCAAACUUACUAUAAAACUAGGUUAAACAUGUUGACGACAUCUAGAUCUCAAACUUUCUUACUAUAAAACUAGGUUAAAUAUGCUAACGACAUCAUUUUUUUUAACCAGAAUUGAAGAAAGAUAUCAAUGAAUUUACCACAAAUUAAAGUUAAAUACAUCCAUGGCACCAGAUAUUUACAUAUUUUGCCACUAACCUUAUGCAGUCUCAUACAAAGAGUGCAACCAACACACUUGGGUACCACCAGAUGGCUUUGCCUUUGCUUAAGCUCAAAAGAUUGAUACAGAGGUAAGGAUAUAAAAAACAAUCAGAAAAGCCUAGAAAAUGGACAUCAAUGUUCAAAAAAACACAAGAGAAAGUAUUUGUUUAAUGUGAAUAACAAAUCACACAAGCAUUUGUAUUUUGUAACCUAUGGUAGUAAUAGAUUUACCUUCAUGCAAAUGAAAGUACAUCAAAAAGUUCUUUAGGAGAUUAAUGCACUCAUACAUUCCCUCAACUUAGCAUAAGAGUUUCUAAGACAAUCUGAGCAAUUAGAAUCAUUAUUCUCAUUAAGCAUAAAAAGUUGCAUCUUGCGAGAUGACAGCUUCAUAUAUUUCUGUUUCACGCUUGUCCAAAUUCACAGACAAUUAGAUGAAGAUAAUAAAGACAAGAUCAUAGAAGAUUUUUUUCAAGCUAUUACUACAUGCAGAGCAUCUAAAUUUUUUACCCACGCACCCAUGCCCGCCCACAGAGCUGCAUGAGCAUGUACAUGCAGAUGUUUUCGAGCACACCACACCAAAUCAAACUCAAAAAUCCCUUCAUGCAUAAAAAUACAAGCAAAAAAGAAAACUCAAACCUCUGCAAGAAUCUCUGCUGAUGUAACCCCAGUUUCUUCUCUUAGCUCUCUAAUAGCAGCAAUUCGAGGAUCUUCUCCUGGAUCCACACCACCCUGCAGCAGAUUAGCUAAUGUAAAUACAUCCAAUAAAUCAUAGCAUGACUUCCACAAUCAACAACCUAUCUGAUGUAGUGCCCUAAUUGUCACUAACGUCCAAGCUGGAUAAGAUUUUCCAGUAAAGUAUUUCUUUUUCAAACCACAUCAAAGGAUGCUACAUGAUAUAUUUAAUAAGAGAGACCAUCCUCAUUACGAUGGCUGUUUCCUUCCAUUAUUCAACGAACAAUUAUCAGGGCCCAUAAGCAAGGCAUCUGAGGAUUUUACAGGUUACCUCAGCUUCCUAUCACUUUGCGCCAAGGCCAAGCACAACAACAAUUUUGUACUUCAGACGAACCAACAAGAACAACCACCUCCAUAGAUCCAUAUAUAUAAAGUUACAGCACUCAAACAUCUACUAGCCUACAAAUUACAAAUUAAUUACAGUGUAACGAACUGUACAACAGGUACAAAUAACAACCCCAACACAUUUCAAGAUCCAUAUUAACCAAUUCCUCAGCCAAUCACCACGAUACUGAAUCACCUACGACCGCUCAUUAUGCAAACAUCCAACCACCAAAUUAUGUUCUUCUCCUGUUCGAAAAAUCACAUAAAAUCCUAAAGCAUGACUGAUUAAAAGAUAUAUAGAAGUGCAUCAUUAUUGUACUGAUUGGCGUCACCAAAAUCAAAUGGGGAAGGGUAAAAUUACUAACAUCCCAAUAAUAAUCUCAUCAAAAUAACAUUUUUAACGUCCAAAUAUGAGCCAUUUAGCAUCAAUAUCAAAGAAACACAUAGAAAAAAAAAAUCAAGAGAAGGACAACAAUAGCAGAUGAUCAAGUUACCUGAGGCAUCUGCCAUGCGCCCGGGAUAUCGAGCCUCGAAGCCGAAAAGAUCUACCACAAUUAAUCAAAUCCGAAAUCAGAAUUCAUGAAAAGAAAAGAAAAAAAGAAGAAAACCCUUAGAAUAGAAACAAAACCUUAUUAGAAGAAUUAAUGAGGCAGAUGCCGACGUUUCUUCGGUAGCCCUCGGGAGGGGCGUCCAUGGAGGCAGCGACGAGCUUCGGGGGCCGCGGGAGUGGCAGGUCCGAAAAUCUGACGAAGAAGGGAGGGCAGAACGGGGAAAGGGAGUGAUGCUUAGGAAGAGCGGGAUAAACGUGGGAGACAGAGAGGAGGAGGGGUCGGCACAGAGAUGAAACCAUCUCUUCACGUCUAGAAUGAUGCCCAGGUUGAAGAGGCACCUACCGGGGGCGUGGCGACCGGCAAGCGGGUCGGGUUGUGAAAGUUGGAUUGGGUCGGGUUGGGUAAAACGGAUUCGGGCCAAUUUCUUCAGCCCUGUCCUCUGAGCUGAUGGUUGUACGGAAAUAUCUUUUGUAUGUACGAAAAUACCCUAAUAUAUUAUUUAGUUUUAUUUUAUUUUAUUUAAAUAUUUUAUUUUAAAAUAUUAUUUAGUGCAUCCAAGAACCCAUCGAAGUGCUGGUGUUUGAAAAUAAGUAUUAACGAGGCUUUUCCAUUGGCAAUGAAAAAGGAUUGAACAUUGAGAUUUGAUUUAAUAAAAUGAGUUAGAGUUAAGUAUUGGAUUUACUUACACAUCAAGGAUAUAAAAAUUUAUGAAAAUAAUAUUGAUAUGGAGAUUGUCCAUCAUCCGAUCUAAUCUUCCCUCCUCGAAUUACAGUCGAGCAUUUAUUGACGAUCCGACGAGACUACCUUGGACAUCAAAAAGAGAUCCAAGAUCUAAGGAGAAGCGAAGUUAUGUUAUUAGCUUCUGUCCAACUCUUAGAUCCAUAUAUGCUGACCUCAAGAUAGAAAUCCAACUGACGAUAGAAAAUGAAGCCUCAACAAUUUGUAGAGGCAUCAAUACAUCCAAGGCAGAGCUUCGACUGUACCCCUACUUCAAGUCAUCAACCUAUCCAGCCAUGCAAACAAUUUUGAAAAUCUCCCAAUAAUUUUAAAAACGUGGACACAACCCCUAAUUGACAUCUAUUCCAAUAGCCUAUCAGAUUGUGGCCAAAUAGGCUUUAACAACCUAUUAAAUUCCGACGUAAUGGCCUAUGGCUCCAUCUUUACAUAAAAAGAUAAAAAGGGGACUUUCAGAUAAGUUUGACUCCAGAGAGCAAAAACCAUACUCUUAUUUUUCUCCUUCCUCCUUCAAUUGUUUCCUAAACUUAAAAUUGACUUAAUCAUCAAAGAGUCCCUUGUCAGACACACUCCGAUAGUAGACAUUGUUUGCAGGUCUAUCGACCAUCACGAACAACCUCUACCUUUCGAGACACCCGAUCAAUCUCUAGAUGCACCAUCCAUUGGCGUUUAGUGGCAACAAAUUGGUGCACCAGGUAGGGGGAGAUAAUCAAUUCUAAAGGAGAAAAUGGUGAGGACAUGAGUGUAAAAUGCUUUAGCUAAUUCUGAUCGACAUUCAUCGCAACGGCAUGAACAACCAGCCCCACAAGCUGAGGCUGAUUCUUCCCAUCCUAUCAUAGAGUGGACCUACAAUAAUUUGCUACUCUAGUACAACAAAUACAAACUCUCACAACCAUCGUCCAAAGCCUCCAACAGAUGGUGAAGAUGCAACAGCAACAGCCUAAGAAGUAGGACCUACAUGUUGCUCUAUCUCGACACAAUCGAUGAUCUCCUUGGCAUAAUUCAAAGCAACGGUAGCCUACUCAAUAGUCUCACCAUCCAAAUUCUCUAGCAUGAUGAACUCUCCCUUGUCACCAAAGCUCAAGGCAGGAGAAACGACACCAUUCCUCCUCAAGAUCAUCUGCUAAGAACUCAACCCUAGGAUAUUUUCAACAUCAUAGUGAUUCUCAUUGACUAGAUGAUUACGAUCGAAAGCUUCAAGAGUUUGGCCAAUGACUUGUUGAGCUUUAGGUGGACAAUAUAGGUCAGGUAGAUGGCCUCGGGCUCAAUACUUAUCCUCCAUUUUCUAGAAGGAUCAUAGAAGAACCAAUUCCGUCUCAGUUUAGCAUGCGGCAAUUGUAGCCAUAUGAUGGCUCUUUAGAUCCACUCGAUUGCCUUGAGAGCUAUAAAGUUCUCAUCAUGAUAAUUCAGGAGGCAACUAAUGCCUUCCUUUAUCAUACUCCGAUCUUCAAUUGGAUACUAUUCACUCUUUUGAAUAGCUAGAGAAGUAGUUCAUAGCAUACUUUAGUAGCAGCAGUAGGCAGCCAUAAAACUUAGGUAGCCUCUUCUUGAUUCAGCAAUCAGAAGGGGAAUCUUUGAAGGAUUACAUGGCACAUUUCAAUACCAGCACCUUAAAAAUUCAUAAUUUGAAUGAAGCUGUAGACAUGUUGGCCAUGAAGUGAAGACUACAAGGAUCCAGGCUUAUCUUCUCCCUAGACAAGAAAUUUUUGAGAUCCUACUCUGAACUCCUCGCCCGGGCAUUUAAAUAUGCUUGAGUUGAGGAAGGUAUGACUAAUAAGUAAGAAUCCAAAAGAAGAAGGUUCAUCAAGAAGAAAUGAGCUUGGAAGGAGCGAAGUAGAGCUUGUGUUGAGAAGGAAGCCCCACGACGAUGAUCAAGCCUUAGGCUGAGGAGUUUGGCCUAUAAAUUCAAUAACUGUACUCAUCUUUCCACCUCCCAUGCGCAAAUUCUUAUAGAGAUUGAGGGACAGAAAUACCUUCUAAGGU